GCCCCGUUCGUCCAUCGGUUAGGACACCAGAUUUUCACUCUGGAGAGAGGAGUUCGAUUCUCCUACGGGGUACCA
rnacentral:tRNA from 1 species